CCCGCGCUCCCCCAGAUUGAGUUUCGGUGUGUUGAGAAACUUAUCAGCAAGCCGAGUGUGGGUAGCUUUGACUUUAGCACGUUUCCAUCGUGAAGCGAUUGCCCCCAGUUCGCCCAACCGGCAGUCAUCACCUGCUCUUCUCUCUGGUUUCAUAUUCUUGUUCAUAUGUUUUACACUGUUUAUGGUCGGCCUGGCUGCAAAAUUGUGCCGCAGACCUGAGACUUGCCGCUCAUUGGCUCAGGCUCAGCGCACAACCAUAUGUUCAGAUUUUCUUUACUGUCAUUCCAAACAUCUUCUCGACGCUGAUCCUUCGAGAGGAGUUCAGGUAUUGUUCACCACCUCUGAUAUGCAGCAGGAUGCUUUCAUCGUCCUUCUCCCCGGUGAUCUGUGCGGGUGAAGUCUUCUCUCCAUAGUUGUGCGUCAAGGAUGAUCAUACGUUCAGGGAGAAAUAGCAUAGUCAAGCAUUGUUGUAGCAAUGCAAUCAUUGUUUUUGCAGUGGUACAUCAGCUUGUCUUCUCUUGGUUGCUCUCAAGUUGCUACACUGACCUGACUAACCUGCCCAUUUCACAGGCGUUGGAAGAAAGGGUCGCAUGAUUCGUCGAGGAACACCACCCUGCCCAUCCCCGCUC
rnacentral:lncRNA from 1 species